rnacentral:rRNA from 1 species
GAUGAACGCUGGCGGCGUGCUUAACACAUGCAAGUCGAACGGAAAGGCCCUGCUCUUGUGGCGCUCUCGAGAGGCGAACGCGUGAGUAAAACGCGAGUAACCUGUCCUUGUCUUUGGGAUAACUUCAGGAAACUGGGGCUAAUAUCGGAUAGGAGCUCCUGCUGCAUGGUGGUGGAUGGAGAGUGUCGGCGGUGGGGGAUGGACUCGCGGGUUAUCGGCUUGAUGGUGGAGUAGUGGCUUACCAAGGCUGCGACGGCUAGGCGGCCUGAGAGGGUGACCGGGGUCAAGGGGCCUACGGGAGGGAGCAGAAGGCAACGUGAGGCAGCAGGCGGGAGUAUUGCGCAGUGGGCCGGAGCCAGUGGCAACAACGCCGGGUGCGUAAAGACGGCCUUCGAGGUGUAAACCGCUUUCGCCUGUAACAAGGCGUGAGUGACGGUAAUGAGUAAGAAAGCACCGGCUAACUACGUG